UGGGCUUAAUCUUCCUCCUCCAACACGGGUAAAAUCAAGUUUUUCUGACUUUGCUUCAUCCCCAAAGAUUACAGCAAGGUCAGGGGCUGUGGCCCUAACCUUUACAAAACCCGGGCCCCCUCGGAAAGCGAGCUAGGCUCCCUCUCCACAGCUCUCCCCUGGGGGCGGGAGGAGCUGGGAGACCAGACGGUGGCGCUCUGGAGUCAGGGGAAGGGCGCCUUCAGCGCCGAGCUGCUGCUCUCCGUCAGCGCGUCAGCCAUUGGUACAGGCGGUUCUCCCAGCCCACUCUGCAGCUGCCUGGUGCCCAGAAAUUAGCAAAUGACCUGAAUCACCGCCGUCUUGGGGAGAAGGGUCAUGGCAAUGACGUUGAAGGACCCCUCGUUUCUCAGGCUUUCCUCCCAGAGCCCUGGUUGAUGGAUGCGCGGUGUUCAUCUGAGGCCCACCGUAUUAUUCCUGAUAUCUGACACAGUGUCAAAACCCAGACCGAACUGUGCCACCUGGGAUUGAAAGCUCAGCCUGGACUCUGCUUUCUCAGCGCUGUGUGUGCUGAUCACAUGCAUCUAGAUGACAGUAGCUUGGGAGAUUGGGACAGUGAUGGCGAACCUUUACGAGCUUUUAGUGAUACCAACAGCCUGCUGCAGCACGUGUGCCAUCGGUUCACCAUCAAUGCUAGAGAAGAACCACAUUCUCUAAGCCGCUAGUGCCAAGUGUCUGUUGAUGUAUCUGCCAGUUGAAAGAAGGAGGAGGAGGAAAAAGAGGAGAAAAAAGAAAAAAGGAAGUUUGAAGAAAAUACCCAUUAAGUUGAAAAUGAAAUUGUAGGAAAUGUGAAUGUGGCAAUUGUGUGACUGAUCUGGCCUCAGAGUACAAGAUGGUAAAGUCAACUUUUGAAGAAUAAAGAUGCCAUCAAAGGACCUGAUGUAGCAAAAAGUGUCACAAUGUUAACCAAGCAGAGGACACAAGCGUUGGAAGAGAUAGAAAAACUUGUUAGUGCUAUUGAAACAGGAACAGCUGGCCAUCAGGUCAUGGCGUUAGUGAAACUAUGAUUGGUAAAAAAGGAAAUUGCACUGCAGGAAAACCCCUCUUCAAGUGCAACAGGUGAUGAAUUUAAAGACAGGAGAGGAUGGUCUGAUAAAUUCCACAAGAGAAGUGGCAUCCACAGUGUGAUAAGACGUGAUGAGGCUUCCAGUUCCGACAAGGCUGCUACCAAACGUACAAGAAAGAAUUUGCAAAUUCAUGAAGGCAGAAGGAUACAUUGCUCAACAAGUGGUCAACUACAAUGAAACAGGGCUCUUCUGGAAGAAGAUGCUGAACAGAACACAUAUCACACAGGAAGAAAAGGCACUGCUGGGUAUGAAGGACAGAUUGACCCUUUCACAAUGUACAAAUGCAACCAUUGAUCUGGAAAUUAAGCCACUACUGGUGGAUCAUUCUCAGACCCCUCAUGCAUUCAAGGAACAGAAUGUUAACAAGGCCAGACUGCCUGUCAUUGGAAAGGCUUGAGUUUCCAGGCAAUUGUUCCUUGAAUGACUGCACAAGGUGUUCACACCCACCAUUAAGAAAUCUCUUUCUGGUCCAGGGAAAUAGCUCAGUGGCAUAAUGCCUGCCUGGCAAACACAAGAUCCUCAGUUCAAUUUCUGAUAUAAAAAGAAAGAAAGAAAAUAAGCAAGCAAGAAAGAAAGAGAAAAACAACCAAUCACCUGAAGUUGUCUUUGAUGGACAAUGCCCCAGCAUACCCUCCAGCCUUGGAAGAUAAAACAGAUGCUGAGUAUAACUUCAUAAAGGUCAAGUUCCUUCCCACAGCACUAUAUCCCUUCUGCAGCCCAAGGACCGGCACAUGGUCUGCAACUUCAAGAAGCUGAACAGAAAGGCCUUCUUCACCAGGUGUUUUAAUGUCACUGAGGAGAUGUCCUUGACCCCAAGGGAUUCUGGAAGAAACCUUUCAAUGUGCUCCACUGCAUCAACCUUACUGACAAAGCCUAGAAAGAUAUCAUGAACUGAACCUUAAUCUCAGCCUGGAAGAAACCAAACAUGACUUUGAAGGGUCUAAUGCGCAAGUGGAAGAGGAGACAGUGUCCAUGGGCAAGAGAUGGAUCUGAAUGUUGAUGGUACUGACAUGGAGGAGCUUGUUGAGGUCCAUAAGGAAGAGCUGACAACUGAAAAAUUUGCUGGACUCCAGAGUGAGCAGCAAGGGCUCUUGUUGAGGAGCAUUCCACUGAGAAAAAAAAAAAAAAAAUGGGGAAGAGCUUGGCAGUGAUGGAUAAAAUCCAUUAUAGAAAAAUGGAACUAGCGCCAGGAUUUCUUUGAGAAGCACCACCCCAACAUAAUCAUAACAAAGUGUUGAAUCUGAUGAAUAAUAAUGACUCUGGAGGAUUAUCCAGCAAAGGAAAAAACAAGUGACAUUAGACAGACUUUUGUCAAAAUUCACCCUGCAGCUAAGAGACAAAGAGAAAACCCCUAAAGGAGAUCUCCUGAUGUCUUUUUGGCAGGUGACUCUACAAACAAUAACCUCCUCCCCACACACUUUUCUUUCCCUCAUGCCAGAAGUUGCCUCAAGCAAGGUUAGUGUUCUCUCUCUUCAUACUAUUCUGUACUGUACUUUGUUCCAUACUUUUGUAGAUAAAAUAAUACAUACAGUUCAGAACAGAUUAACCCUAUUAGAUUGAACUUUAUGGGAAAUUUUUAUUUGGUUCACAAACAAUGCAGUUCACAGCCAGAACAGUGGAACAAAUUAAGUUUGUAAACGGAGGUGCCACUAUACAAGGAAGGAAAUUAUAAAAGUGAGACCAGAAAUUAAGGAAAUCAACACUAAAAAACACAAAUAAUCAAUGAAUCAAAGAGCUGGUUCCUCAAAAGAAUAAACAAAAUGGACAAAUCCUUAGCCAAUCUUAACAAGAAAAGAGAGAAAGGAAGAACCCAUAUCAAUGCAGUUAGAAAUAAAAAAGGCAAAAUCACAACAAACACUGCUGAAAUUCAUGAGACUUUUUGCAACUACUUCAAAAACUUGAAUACUGGUAAAUUGGAGAGUUCAAAAGAAAUGGACAAAUACCUAGAUACAUAAAAUUACCAAAAGUGAACCAAGAUUAUAAAACCUUGAAUAAUCCAAUAACAAACAAUGAAAUUGAAGCAGUAAUAAAAAAAACCUACCAAAUAAGAAAAGCAGAGGACUCAAUGGGCAACAAGAACAAAUCAGAAGGCAUUACAAUCCCAGAUUUUGAGUUAUAUUACAAAGCUAUAGUCAGAAAAACAGCAUGAUACUGGCACAAAAACAGACAUGUGGCUCAAUGAAACAAUAGAGGGGUAGAAACAACCGCAGGCACAUUCAGUCAUCUGAUCUUUGGCAACAGGAUCAAAAACAUACACUGGAGGAAAGAUGUAUCCUUUAAAAAACAGUACUGGGAAAACUGGCUAUCCAUAUGUGGAAGAUGGAAUCUAGAUCUAUAUCUCCAACUCUGCACUAAUACAGUCAAGAUCUAAAUACUAAAACAGAAAUAAUUAAUCUUCUAGAAGAUAAAAUAGGUAAACUCUUGUAGAGAUAGGAGAUAGGAAUAGGCAAGGACUUUCUGAGAAUUACCACCACGAAUCAACAAAUGGAAGAAACCACACCAUCUUCCCAUGAAUCCACUGUCACAGGCCUAAAGAAGAAGCCAUGUCCCAAGGCCUCACUACCACCAGGGGGACAUUGCCACGCCACCUCCUCACAUCCCUCGGCCACCCUGGGAACCUCAGGUUGAAUGAAUGCAGGUGCCCAGCCCAAUCACUUACACAGUGGGUCUCAGCAACCAGCUGAUGUGGAGAAACACAGGAAACUGUUGAGACAAAGAAGCAAGAUGCAAUCUCAGACCCCUAGCCCAUCCUGAACAAGUUCAGGAGACGUAGAAACAAAAGAAAUUAGAAGUCACACAAUUGACAUUUCUUAAAUACUUCAGAUAGCAACUGAAGUAAAGAAACAACCUAGUACUUAUACUGUUUGAUUAACUUUGCAUGCCUGUAUCUGGUAAUCUGAGCAACUAGUUAGAGGAUAACAAUGUGCAUUGUUGUAACUAUUGUUGAUUUCCUUCUGUCUUGUUUUUGAAAUCCAGUAUUGUUCUGUUUGUUUUGUUUCUAUUGUUUUUCUCUUUAAAAUAAAAAUUUAAAAAUAAUC